rnacentral:tRNA from 1 species
GGAUUGUGGCUCAGUGGUAGAGCGCUUGCCUAGCAUACAUGAGAUGCUGGGUUCGAUCCCCAGCACCA